rnacentral:rRNA from 1 species
UACAGAGGGUGCAAGCGUUUGUUCGGAAUUAUUGGGCGUAAAAGCGCGUGUAGGCGGCUUUGCAAGUCGGGUGUGAAAGCCCUCAGCUCAACUGAGGAAGUGCAUCCGAAACUGGCAGCUAGAGUACUAAAGAGGGUCGCGGAAUUCCCGGUGUAGAGGUGAAAUUCGUAGAUAUCGGGAGGAACACCGGUGGCGAAGGCGGCGACCUGGGUAGAUACUGACGCUGAGGAGCGAAAGCGUGGGGAGCGAACAGG